rnacentral:lncRNA from 1 species
UUUUGAAAACGGCAUUUUCAAUAUGUGAGGAGAAAUCCAGGUCUGAAUGUUUGAGGACAGAAGGACAGAGUCUGGUAUAAGAGGGUUCUUAAUGUUAGAAGUCCAUUUAGGAACAAUGACUUAGAAAUUGAAAAGUGGGCUGAAAAAGCAAGAGAGUAGUAUAUUUGAGGGAUGGGAGAGAAAGUUGAAAAAAGGAGAGUCAAGUGGUUGGAAUUUAUUCCUUGUUUUUAAAAAAAUGCCUUAAAUUAUUGCCUCAGUAAUUGCUUUUUCCUUUCUAGGAUAAUAGCCAAGGUUCUGGAGGACAACAAGCUGCCUGGUGCAAUUUGUUCCUUGACUUGUGGUGGAGCAGAUAUUGGGUAGGUUACUAGGCUGAGAGCAUCCUCUGUUGAAGGACCCCAGGUUGACCAACUAGAAUCAUCGUUACUAGAAUAAUGAACUCACUUAUAACUAAGGAGUUGAGAAUGGUUUUUGAAAUCAUUAUUAUUAUGGACUUUGUUGGGUUCUUAUUUUAUUAAUGCCUAACUCCUAUUGGAGGAUGAAUAAGAAUUGUCUUUUUAAUUGCCCAGAGGUACUAUUUGUUAAGGUGUUUAUAUCCUGAAAUAACAAACUGCUGUAAUGGGGGGCAGCCUGUGACUUCCUGACACUUGGUUUAUCAAGGUGUUUACUUACAAAGAAAGCUAUGAAAUUGUAGUCUGGGGUCUCACUGCCUGCCAAGAACCUAGCCUAUUGUCUGAGUUUCUCAGCUGACUGAAAAAGGGAACCCUGGGAACACAGCCUCUUUUUAGUAAAAUUGUUUUUUUCUUUUUUAAUUGCCAUAUAAUUCACAAUUCGUGUACCAUAAAAUCAUGAAAUGCUCUCUUUUAAAGUGUACAAUAUAGUGGUUUUUAAAAUAUUCAGAGUAUUGUAUAUCUAUCACCACUAUCUUAUUCCAGAACAUUUUGAUCAGCCAAGAAAUUAAUCCCAUACCCACUGGCAGUCUCUUCCCAUUCCCCCUGCCCUCAUGCCCUGACAGCCACUAAAGAAUUUUCUGUCUCUAUGGAUUUGCCUAUUUGAGACAUUUUGUAUAAAUGUAAUCAUAUAACAUGUGGCCUUUUGUGUCUUGCUGCUUUUACUUGGCAUGAUAUUAAGAUGACAUGGACUAUACUUGUGCUGAACUGGGAUGAAAGCUGAGGUUCUUACCAGCUUAGACUUUGAUUAGGUGAGUUUUUCAGGAGUCAAGUCUUACAACCCAUACUGGUGUGGCUAAAGUGUUAGUUUCCUUGCCUUCCAACACUUUUAAAUACUAUUGUACUUACUGGGCAAUCUCAAAAAGGAGCAAUAAGUUACUCUGUUUUUCAUUACUCUGUUUUUCAUAUUAAUGAGAAAAUUUUAGAAAUACAACUCCCACAUGUAUAAUGCAGAGUGAAAUAUUAUCUAAGUGUCAUUUAAAACAUGAGUUGGCCUUUGACUGUAUUCUUGCAUUCUAGGUAUUUAGUCCUUGUGCUGGCCUUGCAAUAGCUCAGAUAAUUAUGGUAGUAUAUACAGGAGCAUGUUAAGCAGCAGCCACUUUGAGUAUUAGUGCUCAUGCUUGCUGAGUUGAACCUUGGAAGACUGACCUAGGCAAUUGAGCCAAGCCGUCCAGCCCUACGUUAGACUGAUGCUGUGGCUGCCCUGCUUGGUUCACACUGGACCCUUUGUAGCACUGAAUUAGGAAGAAAGAGGUUCAAAUCAGUAGUGUCUGAUUUGCAUUCCUUAGAAGCAACUGGAAAUCCUAGCAUAGCCUUUAUAAGUAGGCUUCCAUGAGGAAUACUUUAGGAUAGCGGUCCCCAACCUUUCUGGCACCAGGGACUGGGACUGGUUUAGUGGAAGACAAUUUUUCCAUGGACCACGGCAGGGGGAUGGUUUUAGGCUGAAAUUGUUCCACUCAGAUCAUAAGGCAUUAGUUAGAUUCUCAUAAGGAGCAUGCAAUCUAGAUCCCUUGCAUGCACAGCUCACAAUAGAGUUCACACUCCUCUGAAGAUCUAAUGCUGCUGCUGAUCUGACAGGAGGUGGCACUCAGGCAGUAAUGCUCGCCAGGUUGCCUGCUGCCUACCUCCUGCUGUGCAGCCUGGCUCCUAAUAGGCCACAGACUGGUACUGGUCAGCAUCCUGGGGCUUGGGGACCCCUGCUUUAGGAUAUUUCCCUACAGGCUUUUAAGUUUGAAUUCUUUUAUUUUUUAUUUAUUUUAUUUUUAUCUUUUUGAGACAGGGUCUCACUCUGUCACCUAGGCUGGAGUGCAGUGGCUUGACCUCAGCUCACUGCAACCUCCGCCUCCCAGUUUCAAGUGAUCCUCCUACCUCAGCCUCCCAAGUAGCGCAUGCCUCCACACCUGGCUAAUUUUAGUAUUUUUUAUAGAGAUGGGGUUUCAUCGUGUUGCCUAGGCUGGUCCUGCCCAAGUUUUAAUCCUUAAAGGAAUUACACAGCAGUUAAAAGUUUGUAAAACUGGAAUGCUCAGCAAGGAAAUGCUAAGAUCAUAUUGUCCAGUCACUCACUCAGUAUAGGAAAGACUUUCUUCCCUAACAACUUCCUCUAGGUGAUUUCUAUUCAAAUGCUCACAGCAGGUUAGCCUCUUCUGCCUAAUGGUUCUACCUGUGAAAAACUUUUUUCCUUCUCAUGAAGACCUUCCCUUGCUCCCCUGGGACAGACUUUCUUGUAGCUUCAAGGGACUGCUUUUUCAAGGGCACUUCAGUGCUGGGUACCAUUAGAUGUUGUAAUUGCUGGGUUUCUCUGCUUGGGUGGCCGACCGUGUCUGUUCCCUUGCAGCACAGCAAUGGCCAAAGAUGAACGAGUGAACCUGCUGUCCUUCACUGGGAGCACUCAGGUGGGAAAACAGGUGGGCCUGAUGGUGCAGGAGAGGUUUGGUAAGUGUUGGCUUUCUAAUGAGGAUUUUAAUUCUCUCAAAUAUGGAGGUGAAAUCUAAAAGUUGAGUUUUUGUUUUCCCCUCAACCUUUUCCAUGGAGGCAGUGGUCAUGUUUAUUUGAAUGUCUAAGUAAAAGAAAAGGGUACAGUUAUUAGCAGUAGAAUAUUAGGGAAGUCCUAAAUUUAAAUACCAAAAUUUAUGAAAAUCCCAGCACUUUGGGAGGCCAAGGCAGGUGGAUCACAAGGUCAGGAGAUCCAGACCAUCCUGGCUAACACGGUGAAACCCCAUCUCUACUAAAAAUACAAAAAAUUAGCGGGGCGUGGUGGCGGGCUCCUGUAGUCCCAGCUACUCGGGAGGCUGAGGCAAGAGAAUGGUCUGAACCCGGGAGGUGGAGCUUGCAGUGAGCCGAGAUGGCGCCAUUGCACUCCAGCCUGGGCGGCAGAGCGAGAC